CACGUAGGGGGCAAGCGUUGUCCGGAUUUAUUGGGCGUAAAGAGCUCGUAGGCGGUUUCGUAAGUCGGAUGUGAAAACUCCAGGCUCAACUUGGAGACGCCAUUCGAUACUGCGAUGACUUGAGUCCGGAAGAGGUGGGUGGAAUUCCUAGUGUAGAGGUGAAAUUCGUAGAUAUUAGGAAGAACACCGGUGGCGAAGGCGGCCCACUGGUCCGGUACUGACGCUGAGGUGCGAAAGCGUGGGGAGCAAACAGG
rnacentral:rRNA from 1 species